UUCUUCUCUCACUGCCUCAGCAUAGAAAUUUCCCAGCGUCACCCUGUCUUCCAACUGAACCCUCUCUCUCAAUUCUCAGGGUUUUCUCACUGUGAGAAACCCCUUUAUCUUUCUCGAUUCCUCGGGUUUCCGAGGAGAGGAUUCGCGCCCCGGGAGCAGAAAGGGUUUCCCAAUGGUGUCUUGAAAUAUUUUGGGUCGUGUCUGUUCCUUUCUUCGGCAUUUUGGGAGAAAGAAAAUGCUGAUUUUUGGAAGCUCUGAAUGCGGAAAAUAACGGAAGUAUUUUUUUAGCUCUGGGUUUCUUUUGGUUGGAAGCAAGUCUGUGCCUGGUCGAGCUAGAGUUGCUGACGUGGAUACUGACUUUUGGUAUUAUUUCCAUGGUUUGAUUUGAAAACGAGAGGGGGGAGGGGACAUGGAAGGGGAUGAGCAUCAUCAGGUCGUUUUAGCAUGCAGUGUCUGCGGGGCUCUUUUCUCCAUCCUAAGUCCACUCAGUGUUUGGAUUCUGUGGGCCGUAAAUUGGCGGCCUUGGAGGAUAUAUAGUUGGAUAUAUGCAAGAAAAUGGCCAGAAAUUAUCCAAGAGCCCCAAUUAAGUGCAGUCUGCAGUUCUCUAUCUAUAUUUGCAUGGUUGAUUGUUCUUUCUCCCAUUGCAGUUGUAAUGGUAUGGGGAAGUAUACUUAUUGCACUUUUGAGUCGAAAUAUAAUUGGAUUGGCUGUAAUAAUGGCUGGCACAGCUCUUUUGUUGGCCUUCUAUUCUAUAAUGCUUUGGUGGAGAACACAAUGGCAAAGCUCACGGGCAGUUGCUUAUCUUCUUCUCCUGGCUGUAGCUUUACUUUGUGCAUACGAACUUUGCGCUGUUUAUGUCACAGCUGGUGCAAGUGCCUCUGAGCGAUAUUCACCAUCUGGAUUCUUCUUUGGUGUGUCUGCUAUAGCACUAGCAAUCAACAUGUUAUUCAUUUGCAGAAUGGUUUUCAAUGGAACUGGAUUUGAUGUGGAUGAUUAUGUGCGGAGGUCUUACAAAUUUGCAUAUGCUGAUUGUAUUGAAGUGGGUUCUGAUGCUUGCCUACCUGACCCGCCAGAUCCAAAUGAGUUGUACAUGUGGAAAUCCAGUAGGGCUUUACAUCUAGGGCUCCUCUAUGUUGGUUCACUGCUUGUACUUCUUGCGUACUCCAUCUUAUAUGGUUUGACAGCCAAGGAAGCACAUUGGUUGGGGGCAAUAACUUCAGUUGCUGUUAUUGUUCUAGAUUGGAAUAUGGGAGCAUGCUUGUUUGGGUUUGAGCUCCUCAAAAGUCGAGUGCUGGCAUUGUUUGUUGUUGGAAUGUCCAGGAUUUUUCUUAUCUGCUUUGGAGUGCAUUACUGGUACUUGGGACAUUGCGUAAGUUAUGCUUUUGUAGCUUCAGUAUUAUUGGCUGCUGCUGUUUCUCAUCAUCUAUCUGUCUCAGACCCCUUGGUUGCAAGAAGAGAUGCUUUAAGAAGCACUGUAAUGCGCUUACGCGAAGGAUUCCGGCGAAAUGGACAAAGUAGUUCUUCAGGCUCUUCUGAAGGUUGCGGAUCCAGUGUGAAACGUAGUAGCAGUAGUGUUGAAGCAGGUCAGCAUGGUAGUGCUAUCGAGGCUAUCUGCAGAAGUAACUCACAUUUUGUUAAUGUUGGUAGCAAUUGGAGUAAUUGGCUUCUUGGUCGCUCCCGUAGCUGCCAAGAAGGUGUCAAUUGUGACAGGAACAUAGACAGCGGCACGGCAAGUUUAGCAUUUCGUAGCAAUUCAUGCCAUUCCAUUGUUCAGGUUUCUGAAAUGGUCGCAGCAUCUGCUGAUAGACAUUUUGAUCACAGUAGUUCACUGCUUGUUUGCUCUAGCUGUGGAUUGGAGAGCCAAGGCUGUGAAUCAAGCAGAUCAGUUGCUACUUCAACAAAUCAGCAAGCAUUGGAUUUGAAUUUAGCUCUAGUUUUCCAGGACAGGCUACAUGAUCCUAGGAUCACAUCUAUGUUGAAGAGAAAACCAGGACAAGUAGAUCAUGAGGUGAUUAGUCUGCUAAAGGAUAAAGGUCUGGAUCCAAAUUUUGCUUUCAUGCUGAAGGAGAAGGGUUUGGAUCCUAGAAUUUUAGCAUUAUUGCAGAGAAGUAGUUUAGAUGCUGAUAGAGAUCAUCAAGAGGCUACAGAUGUUGCUGUCACUGAUUCAGAUAGAAUGGAUACUAUUGUCCUGAAUCAAAUAUCUUUAUCAGAAGAACUUAGGCGCCAGGGUUUGGAAAAAUGGCUUGACCUUUCCAGGCUUAUAUUGCACCAAAGUGUUGGCACCCCAGAGCGUGCUUGGAUCCUUUUUACUUUUGUCUUCAUCAUAGAAACAGUAACUGUGGCAGUUUUUCGCCCAAAGCCUGUUAAAAUUAUAAAUGCUACACAUGAGCAGUUUGAAUUUGGUUUAUCUAUUCUGCUUCUCUCCCCUGUUGUUUGUUCCAUCAUGGCAUUUAUCUGGUCUCUUCAUGCAGAAGACAUGGCCAUGACUUCUGGACUCCGCAAGUGUGGUUUUGUCGCUUGGCUUCUAAGUACUUGUGUUGGUCUUCUUCUCUCUUUCCUAUGCAAAUCAUCUGUUAUACUGGGAUUGGCUUUGACCGUUCCAAUAAUGAUGAUAUGCCUUUCUGUUGCCAUUCCAAUAUGGAUUCGGAAUGGCUAUGGUUUCUGGAUUUCACGAGGGUUUGAGAGUCAUGGAAACGUUCAACUCACUCCAGGGAGGAAGGAGCGCAUUCUCCUUGCUGGCAGCAUGUUGAUAUUUGUCGGGUCGGUUUUGGCUCUUGGAGCGACAGUGUCAGCAAACCCUUUAGAUGAUUUAGGCGACAAGGGAUGGAAUGGAGAUCAGAAAAGCUCUUAUUCUCCUUAUACAACAUCUAUGUAUCUUGGCUGGGCACUAACUUCAGCAAUUGCUUUACUAUUUACUGCUGUGUUGCCUGUUGUGGCAUGGUUUGCAACAUACCGAUUUUCAUUAUCGUCUGCCAUGUCUGUUGGCCUUUUUGCUAUUGUUCUUGUUACAUUCUGCGGUGCAUCAUAUUGGGGGGUGGUGAAUUCUCGAGUGGACAGAAUUCCAAUGAAGGCUGACUUUCUUGCUGCUUUUCUUCCCUUGGUUUGCAUUCCUGCAGUUUUUUCACUCUUUACUGGUUUAUAUAAAUGGAAAGAUGAUGAUUGGAAACUUUCUCGUGGAGUCUAUGUCUUUGUUGGCAUUGGGAUUUUGCUAUUGCUUGGUGCAAUAUCAGCCAUCAUAGUUAUGAUUAGGCCUUGGACAGUUGGGGUUGCAUUUUUGUUGGUUGUUCUUCUUGUUGUACUUGCAAUUGGUGCUACUCACUACUGGGCUUCAAACAAUUUCUAUUUGACAAGAACUCAAAUGCUCUUAGUUUCCUUUCUUGCUUUUCUUCUGGCUUUGGCUGCAUUUCUAGUUGGAUUGUUUGAAGAAAAACCUUUUGUUGGUGCAUCAGUUGGAUACUUUGCAUUUCUAUUUCUUCUAGCAGGAAGGGCACUGACUGUGCUUCUUUCACCCCCUAUUGUUGUAUAUUCUCCAUGGGUAUUACCAGUGUAUGUUUAUGAUGCUCAUGCAGAUUGCGCAAAAAAUGUUAGUCACGCCUUUCUUGUUCUGUAUGGGAUUGCUUUGGCAAUUGAGGGAUGGGGCGUCAUUGCUAGUUUGAAAAUAUACCCACCUUUUGCUGGCGCUGCUGUAUCAGCAAUUACUCUUGUUGUCGCUUUUGGUUUUGCUGUUUCUCGCCCAUGUCUGACAAUCGAGAUGAUAGAAGAUGCUGUGCAUUUUCUCAGCAAGGAUACAGUUGUUCAGGCAAUUGCUCGAUCUGCCACCAAGACCAGAAAUGCCUUAUCUGGAACCUACUCAGCCCCUCAAAGGUCUGCCAGUUCGGCUGCUUUGUUAAUUGGAGACCCUACCAUUAUGCGGGACAGGGCUGGAAAUUUUGUACUUCCUAGAGCUGAUGUCAUGAAACUGAGAGAUCGCCUGAGAAAUGAAGAAAUUGCUGCUGGUUUAUUCUUUUUCAGAAUAAAGACUGGCCUGACAUUUCGCCAUGAGUCUUCCACUGAUUACAGGAGAAAAAUGUGUGCACACGCACGUAUUCUGGCUCUAGAAGAAGCAAUUGAUACGGAAUGGGUAUAUAUGUGGGAUCGAUUUGGUGGUUAUGUGCUUCUUUUGCUUGGUUUGACUGCUAAGGCUGAGCAAGUGCAGGAUGAAGUCCGCCUUAGACUUUUCCUUGACAAUAUUGGGCUGUCUGAUUUAAGUGCCAAAGAAAUCAAGAAAUGGUUGCCUGAAGACCGCAGACAAUUUGAAAUAAUUCAAGAAAGUUAUAUAAGGGAAAAAGAGACGGAAGAGGAAAUCUUGAUGCAAAGACGGGAAGAGGAGGGGAAGGGAAAAGAAAGAAGGAAGGCACUUCUGGAGAAAGAAGAGUGUAAAUGGAAGGAGAUAGAAACAUCUCUGAUAUCCUCUAUUCCAAAUGCUGGGAGCAGGGAGGCAGCAGCUAUGGCAGCUGCUGUGCGUGCUGUUGGGGGGGAUUCUGUUUUGGAUGACUCGUUUGCCAGGGAGCGAGUUUCUAGCAUAGCUUGCCGCAUUCGUGCAGCACAAUUGGCUCGCCGAGCAGAGCAGACUGGCAUUCGAGGCACUGUGUGCAUACUUGAUGAUGAACCUAGGAGUGUAGGCAGACAUUGUGGACAGAUCGAUUCAAGUCUUUGUCAACUUCAAAAAGUUAGUUUCUCCAUUGCAGUGAUGAUUCAACCAGAGUCUGGUCCAGUUUGUCUUUUAGGGACUGAGUUUCAAAAGGUCUGCUGGGAGAUCCUUGUGGCUGGUUCAGAACAAGGCAUUGAGGCGGGACAAAUUGGUCUUAGAUUGGUUACAAAAGGUCACAGGUUGACAGCUGUUGCUAAAGAAUGGUGUAUAGGAGCUGCAAGCAUUGCAGAUGGAAGGUGGCAUAUUGUCACGGUGACUAUUGAUGCUGACUUAGGUGAGGCAACUUCCUACAUAGAUGGAGGCUUUGAUGGAUAUCAGAGUGGAUUACCACUGCAUGGGAGUGGUGGCAUUUGGGAACUGGGAACAGAUGUUUGGGUUGGUUGUCGACCACCAACAGACUUGGAUGCAUUUGGAAGGUCGGAUAGCGAAGGUUCUGGCUCCAAGAUGCAAAUCAUGGAUGCUUUUCUGUGGGGAAGGUGCCUGACUGAAGAUGAGAUUGCCAUCUUUCAUGCUGCCACGAGCCCUGCUGAUUAUGACCUGAUUGAUCUUCCUGAAGAUGGCUGGCGCUUGUGGGAUUCACCUUCAAGGGUAGAUGACUGGGAAAGUGAAGAAGCGGAUGUUGAGUUGUAUGAUAGAGAGGAUGUGGACUGGGAUGGGCAAUACUCAAAUGGGAGAAAAAGAAGGUCUGGACGGGAAGGAGUAGCAAUUGAUAUUGAUUCUUUCACCAGAAGAUUAAGGAGGCCUAGGUUUGAAACUCAAGAGGAAAUUAAUCAACGCAUGUUAUCAGUUGAAGUUGCUGUUAAGGCGGCUCUUUUGGCAAGAGGAGAAACAAAUUUCACUGAUCAGGAGUUUCCUCCCAGUGAUCGAUCCUUGUAUAUGGAUCCAAACAAUCCUCCUCCAAAAUUGCAGGUUGUUUCUGAGUGGAUGAGACCAACUGAUGUAGUGCAAGAGAGCUGCACAGGUUCUCAGCCGUGUUUAUUUUCUGGUUUUGUAAAUUCUUCAGAUGUUUGUCAGGGUAGGUUAGGUGACUGCUGGUUUCUAAGUGCUGUUGCUGUUCUUACUGAGGUGUCUUGCAUAUCAGAAGUCAUAAUCACGCCAGAGUAUAAUGAGGAAGGGAUCUAUACUGUUCGUUUUUGUAUUCAGGGUGAAUGGGUCCCUGUGGUGGUUGAUGAUUGGAUUCCCUGUGAGUCACCUGGAAAACCAGCAUUUGCUACCAGUAGGAAGCAUAAUGAACUCUGGGUCUCUAUCUUGGAGAAGGCUUAUGCCAAGCUUCAUGGUUCAUAUGAGGCAUUAGAAGGUGGGCUUGUCCAAGAUGCACUUGUGGACCUCACAGGAGGUGCAGGGGAAGAGAUUGACAUGAGGAGUGCUCAAGCACAGAUUGAUCUGGCCAGUGGAAGAUUAUGGUCGCAGUUGUUACACUCUAAGCAGGAAGGCUUUCUGCUUGGUGCUGGGAGUCCAUCAGGCUCAGAUGUACACAUCUCACCUAAUGGAAUUGUUCCAGACCAUGCUUACUCAAUAUUGCAGGUAAGAGAAGUAGAUGGCCACAAGCUUGUUCAGAUUCGAAAUCCUUGGGCCAAUGAAGUUGAGUGGAAUGGCCCUUGGUCUGACUCGUCACCUGAAUGGACAGACAGAAUGAAGCAUAAGCUCAAGCAUGUUCCUCAGUCAAAGGAUGGGAUAUUCUGGAUGUCAUGGCAAGACUUUCAGAUCCACUUUCGCUCUAUUUAUGUUUGCCGGGUGUACCCACCAGAGAUGCGUUAUUCCGUCCAUGGACAGUGGCGUGGCUAUAGUGCUGGUGGCUGCCAAGAUUAUGAUUCAUGGCAUCAAAAUCCACAGUUCAGGCUUCGACCAACAGGUCCUGAGGCAUCAUCAUUCCCAAUUCAUGUAUUUAUCACCCUCACCCAGGGUGUGAGUUUUUCCAGAAAGACCAAUGGUUUCAGGAACUAUCAAUCUAGCCAUGAUUCUUCCAUGUUUUAUAUUGGAAUGAGAAUACUCAAGACACGUGGUUGUCGCGCUGCAUACAAUAUUUACCUGCAUGAAUCAGUUGGUGGGACGGAUUAUGUCAACUCAAGAGAAAUAUCUUGUGAAUUGGUCUUGGAACCUUAUCCUAGGGGAUACACGAUAGUUCCUACAACUAUCCAACCCGGAGAGGAGGCACCAUUUGUUUUGUCAGUUUUUACCAAAGCAUCAAUAACUCUAGAGGCCAUAUGAUACACAGUCCAGAAUUUUGAAGUGGUUAUUAUUUUGUAGCUAUGGAUCAAGGCUGCUUCAAGGCUCCAUACGUUUGGGGUCACUCGUGCCUGCAUGCCUCCAUGCAUGUCAAAUUUUUCCACGAAGUGGUAGAACACAUGGAUUUAUGGAUUUGCUGCCCCAGAUGCUUAUUGGGACAACUGGACAAUAUUCUGGCAUUUUCUGAAGGAAAUGUGAAUCUGAGCCUUAUCGAUAGAUUGCAGCAGCAUGGACCCAUUGAAUCAAGUGAUGCAGUAGCUUUACUCUUCUUCCAUGAUAACGUCCAUAUCCGUACUCAAGGGCUAUGCAGCAGAAAGCAUAAAUGGCUGAAUGAUCUUAAUGUUUCAAAGGUGCUGCACAUACACCAGUACAUGCAAGGGGAUGUGGAGAGAAGUCGGUUUUCACAACAGCUCCAUGGUUGACUCGAGUCUUGACCCAUCGUCAGACGGCACUAUUUGCUGAGCUUAUAAAUAGAAGCAGGUUGAAGAAAAGGGCCCCAUUCAAGUUUGUGUUGUUAUUUGUUGUGUCUAGCAAAUAGAAAAGCAAUGAAAAUAGGAAAUUAGCAAACUAGAGAUAAUGUAGUGUUCAUCUUUCAGUGAGCACAAUAAAAGGGGCGUUGUAGCUGGAGUGUGAAUGGUUUCAACUUCCAGCUGCAGUUUUGUAGCUCCCAGGCUGUCAAUUAAUUGUUCGAGUUUUUUUUUUGUGUUUCUGUUCUUUUUGAAUGUAAUCCCUCGUCUAAUGGGUUCUAGUGGGAUCCUCUUCACCCUU